rnacentral:rRNA from 1 species
GGUUCGAUCAUGGCUCAGAUUGAACGCUGGCGGGAUGCUUUACACAUGCAAGUCGAACGACAGCACGAACGUCUGGUGGCGAGUGGCGAACGGGUGAGUAAUGUAUCGGAACGUGCCUAGUAGCGGGGGAUAACUACGCGGCGUAGCUAAUACCGCAUACGCCCUUCGGGGGAAAGCAGAGGCCUUCGGGCCUCGCACUAUUAGAGCGGCCGAUAUCGGAUUAGCUAGUUGGUGGGGUAACGGCUCGCAAGGCGACGAUCCGUAGCUGGUUUGAGAGGACGACCAGCCACACUGGGACUGAGACACGGCCCAGACUCCUACGGGAGGCAACAGUGGGGAAUUUUUGGACAAUGGGGGAAACCCUGAUCCAGCCAUCCCGCGUGUGCGAUAAGGCCUUCCGGGUUGUAAAGCACUUUUGGCAGGAAAGAAACAGCCUGCGGGAUAAUACCCCGUGCAACUGACAGCCACCUGCAGAAUAAGCACCGGCUAACUACGUGCACCAGCAGCCGCGGUAAUACGUAGGGUGCAAGCGUUAAUCGGAAUUACUGGGCGUAAAGCGUGCGCACGGGCGGUUCGGAAAGAAAAGAUGUAGAAAUCCCAGAGCUUGGCAGAACUGCACAUUUUUAACUACCGAGCUAGAGUGUGUCAGAGGGAGGUGGUGCGUGUAGCAGUGAAAUGCGUAGAUAUGCGGAGGAACACCGAUGGCGAAGGCAGCCUCCUGGGAUAACACUGACGCUCAUGCACGAAAAGCGUGGGGAGCAAACAGGAUUAGAUACCCUGGUAGUCCACGCCCUAAACAAUGUCAACUAGCUGUUGGGGCCUUCGGGCCUUGGUAGCGCAAUAACGCGUGAAGUUGACCGCCUGGGAAGUACAGUCGCAAGAUUAAAACUCAAAGAAUUGACGGGGACCCGCACAAGCGGUGGAUGAUGUGGAUUAAUUCGAUGCAACGCGAAAAACCUUACCUACCCCUUGACAUGUCUGGAAUCCCGAAGAGAUUUGGGAGUGCUCGCAAGAGAACCGGAACACAGGUGCUGCGCGGCUGUCGUCAGCUCGUGUCGUGAGAUGUUGGGUUAAGUCCCGCAACGAGCGCAACCCUUGUCAUUAGUUGCUACGAAAGGGCACUCGGACUGCCGGUGACAAACCGGAGGAAGGUGGGGAUGACGUCAAGUCCUCAUGGCCCUUAUGGGCGAGGGCUUCACACGUCAUACAAUGGUCGGGACAGAGGGUCGCCAACCCGCGAGGAGGAGCCAAUCCCAGAAACCCGAUCGUAGUCGGAUCGCAGUCUGCAACUCGACUGCGUGAAGUCGGAGAUCGCUAGUAAUCGCGGAUCAGCAUGUCGCGGUGAAUACGUUCCCGGGUCUUGUACACACCGCCCGUCACACCAUGGGAGUGGGUUUUACCAGAAGUAGUUAGCCUAACCGUAAGGAGGGCGAUUACCACGGUAGGAUUCAUGACUGGGGUGAAGUCGU